rnacentral:rRNA from 1 species
GCGAACGCUGGCGGCAGGCUUAACACAUGCAAGUCGAGCGCCCCGCAAGGGGAGCGGCAGACGGGAGAGUAACACGUGGGAACGUACCUUUCAGUUCGGGACAACCAAGGGAAACUUUGGCUAAUACCGAAUACGCCCGUAAGGGGAAAGAUUUAUCGCUGAAAGAUCGGCCCGCGUCUGAUUAGCUAGUUGGUGGGGUAAUGGCCCACCAAGGCGACGAUCAGUAGCUGGUCUGAGAGGAUGAUCAGCCUCACUGGGACUGAGACACGGCCCAGACUCCUACGGGAGGCAGCAGUGGGGAAUAUUGGACAAUGGGCGCAAGCCUGAUCCAGCCAUGCCGCGUGGAUGAUGAAGGCCUUAGGGUUGUAAAGUCCUUUUAACGGGGAAGAUAAUGACGGUACCCGUAGAAUAAGCCCCGGCUAACUUCGU